rnacentral:rRNA from 1 species
CCUACGGUGUGCAGCAGUGAGGAAUAUUGGUCAAUGGACGCAAGUCUGAACCAGCCAAGUAGCGUGCAGGAUGACGGCCCUCCGGGUUGUAAACUGCUUUUAGUUGGGAAUAAAAGGGGGCUCGUGAGCCCCGUCUUGUAUGUACCAUCAGACAAAGGAACGGCUAAUUCCGUGCCAGCAGCCGCGGUAAUACGGAAGGUCCGGGCGUUAUCCGGAUUUCUUGGGUUUCAAGCGAGCGUAGGCCGGCUUCUACGUCAGCUGUGAAAGUCCGCGUCUCAACCGUGGAAUUGCAGUUGAAACUGGAGGCCUUGAGUGCACACAGGGAUGCCGGAAU